rnacentral:rRNA from 1 species
UACGGGGGGGGCAAGCGUUGUUCGGAAUUACUGGGCGUAAAGGGCUCGUAGGCGGCCAACUAAGUCAGACGUGAAAUCCCUCGGCUUAACCGGGGAACUGCAUCUGAUACUGGAUGGCUUGAGUUCGGGAGAGGGAUGCGGAAUUCCAGGUGUAGCGGUGAAAUGCGUAGAUAUCUGGAGGAACACCGAUGGCGAAGGCAGCCCCCUGGGCUAGCACUGACGCUCAGGCACGAAAGCGUGGGGAGCAAACAGG